GGUGCUGUGGCUUAGCUGGUCAAAGUGCCUGUCUAAUAAACAGAAACUCCUGGGUUCAAGUCCCAGCAGCGCCU